rnacentral:lncRNA from 1 species
GGGACAACAAACCACUAUCACCCAGUGCCAUUUGAUAUUUAACUGCCUUACAGA